rnacentral:rRNA from 1 species
AUUGAACGCUGGCGGCAUGCCUUACACAUGCAAGUCGAACGGCAGCACGGGUGCUUGCACCUGGUGGCGAGUGGCGAACGGGUGAGUAAUAUAUCGGAACGUACCUUAUUGUGGGGGAUAACGCAGCGAAAGCUGUGCUAAUACCGCAUGAUCCCUAAGGGGGAAAGCGGGGGACCGUAAGGCCUCGCGCAAUUAGGGCGGCCGAUACCUGAUUAGCUAGUUGGUGAGGUAAAGGCUCACCAAGGCAACGAUCAGUAGCUGGUCUGAGAGGACGAUCAGCCACACUGGGACUGAGACACGGCCCAGACUCCUACGGGAGGCAGCAGUGGGGAAUUUUGGACAAUGGGGGCAACCCUGAUCCAGCAAUGCCGCGUGAGUGAAGAAGGCCUUCGGGUUGUAAAGCUCUUUUGUCAGGGAAGAAACAGCAGCUCUAACACAGUAUGCGAAUGACGGUACCUGAAGAAUAAGCACCGGCUAACUACGUGCCAGCAGCCGCCGUAA